rnacentral:rRNA from 1 species
CAACGGCCGCGGUACUCUGACCGUGCAAAGGUAGCAUAAUCAUUUGCCCUAUAAUUAAGGGCUAGUAUGAACGGUCUAACAAGAAUGGGACUGUCUCUUUUAAAAUCCUUAGAAUUUGGUCUUUAGGUGAAGAAACCUAAAUUAUAUUGAUAGACAAGAAGACCCUAUCGAGCUUUAAAACAAUUAGUUAAACAAAUAGAUAACACUAACUUUAACUAAAAAUUUUGGUUGGGGCGACUAAGGAACAAACAAAGCUUCCUUAAUAAAUUCUACACUAAUAAGUAAUGAUCCAAAAUAUUUGAUUAAUAAAAUUAGUUACCGUAGGGAUAACAGCAUAAUCUUCUUCAAGAGUUCUUAUCGAAAAGAAUGUUUGUGACCUCGAUGUUGGACUAGGAUAUCCAAAAGAUGCAGAAGUCUUUAAAGGUUGGUCUGUUCGACCAAUAAAAUCCUACGUGAU